rnacentral:rRNA from 1 species
CCUACGGGAGGCAGCAGUAGGGAAUCUUCCUCAAUGGGGGCAACCCUGACGCAGCAACGCCGCGUGGAGGAUGAAGGUUUUCGGAUUGUAAACUCCUUUUGUUAGAGAAGAUAAUGACGGUAUCUAACGAAUAAGCCCUGGCUAACUCCGUGCCAGCAGCCGCGGUAAUACGGCGGGCGCAAGCGUUACUCGGAAUCACUGGGCGUAAAGAGCGCGUAGGCGGGUUAGCAAGUCAGAUGUGAAAUCCUAUGGCUUAACCAUAGAGCUGCAUUUGAAACUGGUAUUCUAGAGUAUGGGAGAGGUAGGUGGAAUUCUUGGUGUAGGGGUAAAAUCCGUAGAGAUAAAGAGGAAUACUCAUUGCGAAGGCGACCUGCUAGAACAUAACUGACGCUGAUGCGCGAAAGCGUGGGGAGCAAACAGGAUUAGAUACCCGUGUAGUC